GGGGGAUUAGCUCAGCUGGCUAGAGCGCCUGCUUUGCACGCAGGAGGUCAUCGGUUCGACUCCGAUAUUCUCCAUUU
rnacentral:tRNA from 1 species